AGAUUGAACGCUGGCGGCAGGCCUAACACAUGCAAGUCGAGCGGGGGUAGCAAUACCCUAGCGGCGAACGGGUGAGGAAUGCUUGGGAAUCUGCCUCGUAGUGGGGGAUAACGUUCCGAAAGGAACGCUAAUACCGCAUACGUCCUACGGGAGAAAGGGGGGGAUCUUCGGACCUCUCGCUAUGAGAUGAGCCCAAGCGGGAUUAGCUAGUUGGUGAGGUAAAGGCUCACCAAGGCGACGAUCCCUAGCUGGUCUGAGAGGAUGAUCAGCCACACUGGAACUGAGACACGGUCCAGGACUCCGUACGGGAGCAGCAGUGGGAAUAUGGACAAGUGGGGGAAACCUGAUCAGCCAUGCCGCGUGUGUAGAGAACGGUCGUUCGGUUAGUAA
rnacentral:rRNA from 1 species